UUUUCAAAUAUAAAUUCUAGGUGUUUUAGUCUUAGACACAUUCAUUUGACAACGCUUAAGCAGUCGACAGUGUGUUACAAUAUACAAAUAAAAUAUCAAGAAUAACAAUGAAUUUCGUAAAGUUUUUUGUUUUUGUUCUAUUAAGUGUAAUGGCUGUUUUAUCAGUGAACGCCAAUCCAGCUCCGAAAUUUAGACCGUUUAAAAAACUGGAGAAGCUUGGACAGAGAGUUAGAGACGGCAUCAUCAAGGCGGGUCCAGCUGUCGAAGUCAUAGGACAAGCAAGCACUGUGAUUAAAGGAUAAUAAAGUUUAAGAAUUAGGUGUAAUUGAAAUAAUUAUUUAUUGUAAAUUAUUUGGUUUUGUUAUGUUACAAAAACUUUCAAAAACUAUUUAUAUUAAUUAAAUGGAAAUUCAUAUUUACUUCUUAUUUAUUUUUCUAACAUCUAUGAUAAAUGUUUUUUCGGAUUUUUCUUCGUCAAUAAUAAUUAAAUUAAUUGACAAAUUAUGAUAAUAAUUAUAAGAUAAUUUAAGAGGUCAUUGUAUUUAAUAUUUUUCUUGACUUUAAAUUUAUGGUAAUAAUAAUUUUUUAGUUUAAAAAGCUCAACAAAAUUGUAUGAGAAUUUAUUUAAUUUUGUUUGGACUUUUACACCACAAAGUCAUCUCAAAAAAUUUACAUCCAGUAAUAAAAUAUACAUUUAACUACAUAUUAUGUAAACGUUUUAAGUUCUUUUGUAUGAUAAAAUUUAACGUAAUACGUUUUAGUAUUUGAGCUUUUUGUUUAUUUUAUAAAAAAAAUUUAGUUAGUUAGUUUAGUUUUUUUUUUUUGUUAGUUAGUUUUAAAAUGUUUUAUAGAAGCAUGAGACAUAUUUUUUUUUUAAUUAUUUAAAAAAUAAAUCGUAAAACACUACAAGUUAACUGGGGUAGGGACAGCAGGAAAUAUCCUGUUCAAAAUCUGAUGCUUAAUUGGAUUCUUCAUUGGUCUGUUAUGAAUUUCUGAGUUAGACUUUAUGAAAAGGUAAUUGAAAUUUAAUUCAAAAAAGAUUGAACUAGAUAUCCGUCUAGUGUCUUAAUGUGAUAAUGAUAAUAAUAAUAUGUCUUAGUCAUAGGGGAUGCAGAAACUAUUUGUAGUAGGUUGUUAAAUUAUAAUGUCAUUCUAGUGUUGAUAUGCAUGUAGGAAAAGGGUCACAGCGUAACCCGUCACGCUGC
rnacentral:misc_RNA from 1 species